rnacentral:rRNA from 1 species
UACGUAGGGUGCAAGCGUUAAUCGGAAUUACUGGGCGUAAAGCGUGCGCAGGCGGUUUUGUAAGUCUGUUGUGAAAUCCCCGGGCUUAACCUGGGAAUGGGCAAUGGAGACUGCAAGGCUAGAGUUUGGCAGAGGGGGGUAGAAUUCCACGUGUAGCAGUGAAAAUGCGUAGAGAUGUGGAGGAACACCGAUGGCGAAGGCAGCCCCCUGGGUCAAGAUUGACGCUCGAUGCACGAAAGCGUGGGGAGCAAACAGGA